rnacentral:rRNA from 1 species
UACGGGGGGGGCAAGCGUUGUUCGGAAUUACUGGGCGUAAAGGGCUCGUAGGCGGCCAACUAAGUCGGAUGUGAAAUCCCUCGGCUUAACCGGGGAACUGCGUCUGAUACUGGAUGGCUUGAGUUCGGGAGAGGGAUGCGGAAUUCCAGGUGUAGCGGUGAAAUGCGUAGAUAUCUGGAGGAACACCGGUGGCGAAGGCGGCAUCCUGGACCGACACUGACACUGAGGAGCGAAAGCCAGGGGAGCAAACGGG